GACGAACGCUGGCGGCGUGCUUAACACAUGCAAGUCGAACGAUGAAGCGGUGCUUGCACCGUGGAUUAGUGGCGAACGGGUGAGUAAUACGUGAGUGACCUACCUUUGACUCUGGGAUAAGCCUGGGAAACUGGGUCUAAUACCGGAUACGACCAAUCUCUGCAUGGGGUGUUGGUGGAAAGCGUUAUGGAGUGGUUUUAGAUGGGCUCACGGCCUAUCAGCUUGUUGGUGAGGUAAUGGCUUACCAAGGCGACGACGGGUAGCCGGCCUGAGAGGGUGACCGGCCACACUGGGACUGAGACACGGCCCAGACUCCUACGGGAGGCAGCAGCGGGGAAUAUUGCACAAUGGGCGCAAGCCUGAUGCAGCGACGCCGCGUGAGGGAUGACGGCCUUCGGGUUGUAAACCUCUGUUAGCAUCGAAGAAGCGAAAGUGACGGUAGGUGCAGAGAAAGCGCCGGCUAACUACGUG
rnacentral:rRNA from 1 species